AUGAACGCUGGCGGCGUGUCUUAGGCAUGCAAGUCGAGUGGGUUUAGGCCCACGGCAAACGGGUGCGUAACACAUUGGCAACCUACCCCGGAGUAGAGCAUAAUCCGCCGAAAGGCGAACUAAUUCUCUAUACCUUUGUUUCACAUAAGUGAGGCAAAGAAAGAUUUAUCGCUCCGGGAGGGACCUAUGGUCCAUCAGCUAGUUGGUGAGGUAAUGGCUCACCAAGGCUAUGACGGAUAGCGGGUAUUAGCGUACGACCCGCCUCACCGGGACUGAAACACUGCCCGGACUUCUACGGAAGGCUGCAGUCAAGAAUAUUCCACAAUGCCCGAAAGGGUGAUGGAGCGACGCCGCGUGUAGGAUGAAGGCCUUCGGGUCGUAAACUACUUUUCCCAGGGAAGAAUUUCUGACGGUACCUGGGGAAUAAGAGGCUGCUAACUCUGU
rnacentral:rRNA from 1 species